rnacentral:rRNA from 1 species
UACGGGGGGGGCAAGCGUUGUUCGGAAUUACUGGGCGUAAAGGGCUCGUAGGUGGCCAACUAAGUCAGACGUGAAAUCCCCAGGCUUAACCUGGGAACUGCGUCUGAUACUGGAUGGCUUGAAUUCGGGAGAGGGAUGCAGAAUUCCAGGUGUAGCGGUGAAAUGCGUAGAUAUCUGGAGGAACACCGGUGGCGAAGGCGGCAUCCUGGACCGACAUUGACGCUGAGGCGCGAAAGCCAGGGGAGCAAACGGG